GCCCGGAUGGUCUAGUGGUAUGAUUCGCGCUUAGUAAGCCUUCCCGAUUAAACCCAAAAUAGUCCAUUUCAAUUUACUAACAACAACUCCAGGGGUCAACCCUUAGCUAAAAAUGCGCGAGGUCCCCGGUUCGAUCCCGGGUUCGGGCC
rnacentral:tRNA from 1 species